GCAGAAAAUCACACAGCCUCACUGCGAAGCAUCUGGGCCUGGUGGCACCGAUGGAUGAGGACAGAAAAUGGGGAUCUUUUCAGUGUUUUCCUUCUAAAGGUUAGGCAUCCGGGGCUAGAAAGAGUGAGAAAGACAAGGAUUGAUAGAAAAGGCAGUUCCACGAGAGGAGGUGUCUGCAAGGAUAGUUCAAGUAGUCACUGCUGAGGCUGUAGCAGUCCUGAAAGGUGAACAAGAGAAAGAAGCUCAACAUAAAGACCAGACUGCAGCUCUGCCUUUAGCAGCUGAAGAAACAGCUAAUCUGCCUCCUUCUCCACCCCCAUCACCUGCCUCAGAACAGACUGUCACAGUGGAGGAAGAUGAUGAUAGGAGCAUCAUGACAGAACAGUUAGAAACUAUUCCUAAAGAGGAGAAAGCUGAAAAGGAAGCUCGGAGAUCAUCUCUUGAGAAACAUAGAAAAGAAAAGCCUUUUAAAACCGGGAGAGGCAGAAUUUCCACUCCUGAAAGAAAAGUAGCUAAAAAGGAACCUAGCACAGUCUCCAGAGAUGAAGUGAGAAGGAAAAAAG
rnacentral:lncRNA from 1 species